CACUUUUCCUGCUCCUCCUCCACAAGGCUUGUUACCCAGUCAAAGAAAGCUAUGAGGUUGUUUGAUACGAUGUGUUUUUGACAAAUCUAUACUAUUACUUCUCUCCUUAUUAUCUUCUAGAUGUUUGCAAAUUGAUUGCUUAAUUAUUUUCUC